AACGAACGCUGGCGGCGUGCCUAACACAUGCAAGUCGUGCGAGAAAGUUCCUUCGGGAGCGAGUAAAAGCGGUGCACGGGUGAGUAACACGUAGGUAACCUGCCCCCCAGUCUGGAACAACUAGAGGAAAACUCUAGCUAAUGCCGGAUGAGACCACGAUCCCUUCGGGGGUUGCGGCCCAAAAGAUGGCCUCUACUUGUAAGCUAUCGCUGAGGGAUGGGCCUGCGGGCCAUUAGCUUGUUGGUGAGGUAACGGCUCACCAAGGCUGUGAUGGCUAGCUGGUCUGAGAGGAUGACCAGCCACACUGGGACUGAGACACGGCCCAGACUCCUACGGGAGGCAGCAGUGGGAAUAUUGGACAAUGGGCGAAAGCUGAUCCAGCAAUGCCGCGUGUGUGAAGAAGG
rnacentral:rRNA from 1 species